CCUACGGGUGACAGCAGUGAGGAAUAUUGGUCAAUGGGCGCGAGCCUGAACCAGCCAAGUCGCGUGAGGGAAGACGGCCCUAUGGAUUGUAAACCUCUUUUAUCGGGGAGCAAAAGACGCCACGCGUGGCGUUCCGCGAGUACCCGAAGAAAAAGCAUCGGCUAACUCCGUGCCAGCAGCCGCGGUAAUACGGAGGAUGCGAGCGUUAUCCGGAUUUAUUGGGUUUAAAGGGUGCGCAGGCGGAAUGUCAAGUCAGCGGUAAAAUUUAGGGGCUCAACCGCGUCGUGCCGUUGAAACUGGUGUUCUUGAGUGAGUGAGAAGUAUGCGGAAUGCGUGGUGUAGCGGUGAAAUGCAUAGAUAUCACGCAGAACUCCGAUUGCGAAGGCAGCAUACCGGCGCUCAACUGACGCUCAUGCACGAAAGUGUGGGUAUCGAACAGGAUUAGAUACCCUAGUAGUC
rnacentral:rRNA from 1 species